rnacentral:snRNA from 1 species
AUCGCUUCUCGGCCUUUUGGCUAAGAUCAAGUGUAGAAGAGUACAUGGCUUGUAUUCAGUUAAAAUUAAUUAAAUGAGUAUCUCCU